UAAAACCUGUUAAAAUGAUAACAAUCAUAGCAUGUCAAAAUAUAAUUUAUUUGAAUUUCCUAAUAUUUUGUCACAGAUCGGAGCGGACCACAGAUGUCGUGAGUCUCGCCCCUCCCUAGUUUCCACCUCGAGGAGGUCCCAAGAACACCCCAAUGACCAGACACACGAGAGAGAGGGAGUGUAAUUAAAACAGACUUUAUUUAAAUUAUUUAGAAGGUGUGCAGGGAAGGGAAAAGGGAAUCUAAAAUCCACUCUCGGGGCCAGAGAGUAUAGGUCCGAGUCACUUCUGACUCUGUCACGGGGACUCUCAGGUAAACCUGUAGGUAAUUUGUGUCCUUUCCUUCACGUGACUCAACAGGGUUUUUCUCAGUAGUGCCUUUGUGUUUCUCCUGCAGGAGAACCGUCAGUGGGGCCCUUCCAGUCCCUGCACGCAGAGUAAAGAAGGUAAGUAAUUCUGAUGAAUUGGGUGAGGUGCGUACCUGACGCCGUUCGCCACGAGAUUCUGGGUCCACGGUUAGAAACGCCUAAAAGGUCCACCGGUAAGUAUGCAGGUGAAUAUAUGCAAGGGCGAUGCACUGGUAUUUCACUCGGGGCGUACAGGUAAGUAUGCAGAAGGACAACUGGGUCUUUACUUUGGACGUACAGGUGAGUAUACAAGGGCAACUAGAGCUUGACUCUGAGCAUACAAGUAAGUAUACAAGGACAAUACGCUAGCUCUUAGCUUGAGGCGUACAGAGGGGUAUACAGGGGCAACUGGAGCUUGACUUUGGGCAUACAGGUAAGUAUACAAGGGCAAUACGCUGGCUCUUAGCUUGAGGCGUACAGAUGGGCAUACAGGGGCAACUGGAGCUUUGCUCUGGGCAUGCAGGUGGAUAUACAAUGACAAUACUGAAUGGAUACAACUCACAGACCCUCGAAGAGGUGGACGUCAGGCUUUAGCCCUUUCCAGCUCGGGAGUCUAGAGAAGGUGUAUAUGUCACGACAACUGUGGUCUUCUUCACCGGGGCAGACUUCCCAGACCAACACUCAACACGGUCACCUCCAACCGUGGAAACACUCCCACGACGACUCAGAGCCUCAAGCUCAGACCUGUAGGACUAGUAACAGACAGACAGAGUUCCUUCACAAAAUUUACUUAGCUUCAGUGAAUAUAUGGAGAAAGACACACCACCUCUCGAAUUUGACCAAGAGUGGAUAGAAGUACAGAUUGAAGUUGCUGCACGUUGGGCCUUCCACGGCCUCAGCUGGUGCCACCACGCUGGGUGACUUCAGGUAGGUUUGUGCCACCGGGUAUGUACCUCAGGAAUGACUCGAACGCUUCCCUCUCCUCUCUUCCAAACAACGGACCAGAGAUCUAGACAGGGGCGAACCUCUGAAAGUACUCCACAAACAGGUAUUCAUACACAAGGGCUACACAGCUGGAUGUUCAUAUAGCAGCCCACACUUCUCUCAGUCGUCGUCCCCCACAAUAUGCACACUGUUCCUUACUUGCUAUUGUUGGCACGUCGCCACUCGGCGGAGUAGGGGUCCAAAGCCGCGAGCGGGCAUGUAUAUAAAAGACGGUCGUCUCACAACACCGGUGCACGUUCUUCUCCACAGGGUUUUCUCUCCCAGCCUAGAGGGUGAUUACUGACAACAUGACACAGCACGACACUGCAGACUUCAAGUAUACACACAGCAAAGAAAAGGACUCGCCCACUGCACUCCACACACUCACAGUGAAUUAGGGUCAAAACCACAUAGGACCGGGGAUUAGUUCCUGGACGUUGGGGACACCGAUGCAGCAGACGGCCAGAGGGGACGUCACAGCCACGACAAGGCACCAGACUCCUUUUUCGCUGUUUCCGGCUCACCCACCAAUCCUAUUACGGUGGGGCCGCUCACACUGGUCACAACUCACAAGGGAUAUAUGGAUAUUCCACACUUGCAAAAUAACUGUUGACUCGAUGAAUAUUUCAGUGUACUCACACUUUCAUUAACACUGGAUCUCUCCACUUCUCUUCCAGAUAACCGACAUCCGACACAACUGGCAGCACGAUCUCCUUCCUGCAAUCCUAGCAGAUCUUCAAUGUGUGUUAACUUCACAUCACACAAUGCAUCUGAACACAAUGCUCCAAUAAAGAUAUUCGUAUACUCA
ensembl:lncRNA